UGGGGAAUAUUGGACAAUGGGCGAAAGCCUGAUCCAGCAAUGCCGCGUGAGUGAUGAAGGCCUUAGGGUUGUAAAGCUCUUUUACCCGGGAUGAUAAUGACAGUACCGGGAGAAUAAGUCCCGGCUAACUCCGUGCCAGCAGCCGCGGUAAUACGUAGGGUGCGAGCGUUGUCCGGAAUUAUUGGGCGUAAAGCGCACGUAGGCGGAUCGUUAAGUCGGGGGUGAAAUCCUGGAGCUCAACUCCAGAACUGCCUUCGAUACUGGCGAUCUUGAGUCCGGAAGAGGUGAGUGGAACUCCUAGUGUAGAGGUGGAAUUCGUAGAUAUUAGGAAGAACACCAGUGGCGAAGGCGGCUCACUGGUCCGGUACUGACGCUGAGGUGCGAAAGCGUGGGGAGCAAA
rnacentral:rRNA from 1 species